rnacentral:rRNA from 1 species
UACAGAGGUGGCAAGCGUUGUUCGGAAUUACUGGGCGUAAAGGGCGCGUAGGCGGCCCGUCAAGUCCCGUGUGAAAGCCCCCGGCUCAACCGGGGAACUGCACGGGAAACUAGCAGGCUUGAGUUCGGGAGAGGGAAGCGGAAUUUCGGGUGUAGCGGUGAAAUGCGCAGAUAUCCGAAGGAACACCGGUGGCGAAGGCGGCUUCCUGGACCGACACUGACGCUGAGGCGCGAAAGCGUGGGGAGCAAACGGG